AUUGAACGCUGGCGGAAUGCUUUACACAUGCAAGUCGAGCGGCAGCGCGGGGCAACCUGGCGGCGAGCGGCGAACGGGUGAGUAAUGCAUCGGAACAUGUCCAUGUCGUGGGGGAUAGCCCGGCGAAAGCCGGAUUAAUACCGCAUACGCCCGAGAGGGGAAAGCCGGGGACCGCAAGGCCUGGCGCGAUUGGGUUGGCCGAUGUCCGAUUAGCUAGUUGGCGGGGUAAGAGCCCACCAAGGCGAUGAUCGGUAGCUGGUCUGAGAGGAUGAUCAGCCACACUGGGACUGAGACACGGCCCAGACUCCUACGGGAGGGAGCAGUGGGGAAUUUUGGACAAUGGGGGCAACCCUGAUCCAGCCAUUCCGCGUGAGUGAAGAAGGCCUUCGGGUUGUAAAGCUCUUUUGUCCGGAACGAAACGGUUGCGGUGAACAUCCGCGACUACUGACGGUACCGGAAGAAUAAGCACCGGCUAACUACGUGCCAGCAGCCGCCGUAACAC
rnacentral:rRNA from 1 species